AGAGUUUGAUCCUGGCUCAGAACGAACGCUGGCGGCGUGCUUAACACAUGCAAGUCGAACGAGAAAGAGUUCCUUCGGGAACUUGAGUAGAGUGGCGCACGGGUGAGUAACGCGUAGAUAAUCUACCCUUAUAUAUGGAAUAACUGGGCGAAAGCUCAGCUAAUACCGUAUACGCUUUUCCGGGCGCGAGACCGGGGGAGGAAAGGUGGCCUCUGAUUCAAGCUAUCGUAUAAGGAUGAGACUGCGUACCAUUAGCUAGUAGGUGGGGUAAUAGCCCACCUAGGCGACGAUGGUUAGCGGGUCUGAGAGGAUGAUCCGCCACACUGGAACUGGAACACGGACCAGACUCCUACGGGAGGCAGCAGUGAGGAAUUUUGCGCAAUGGGGGUAACCUUGACGCAGCGACGCCGCGUGGGUGAUGAAGGCUUUCGAGUCGUAAAGCCCUGUCAAGUGGGAAGAACCGUCAAUAUGCUAAUACCAUGUUGAUCUGACGGUACCACUAAAGGAAGCACCGGCUAACUCCGUGCCAGCAGCCGCGGUAAUACGGAGGGUGCAAGCGUUGUUCGGAAUUACUGGGCGUAAAGGGCGCGUAGGCGGCGCUGUAAGUCAGAUGUGAAAGUCCACGGCUUAACCGUGGAAGUGCAUCUGAUACUGCAGCGCUUGAGUAUCGGAGGGGAAAGUAGAAUUCCCGGUGUAGAGGUGAAAUUCGUAGAUAUCGGGAGGAAUACCGGUGGCGAAGGCGACUUUCUGGACGAAUACUGACGCUGAUGCGCGAAAGCGUGGGGAGCAAACAGGAUUAGAUACCCUGGUAGUCCACAGCUGUAAACGAUGUACACUAGAUGUAGGGGGUGUUGACCCCUCCUGUGUCGCAGCUAACGCAUUAAGUGUACCGCCUGGGGAGUACGGUCGCAAGAUUAAAACUCAAAGGAAUUGACGGGGGCCCGCACAAGCGGUGGAGUAUGUGGUUUAAUUCGACGCUACGCGAAGAACCUUAUCCUGGUCUUGACAUGCUUGAGAAUCCCACUGAAAGGUGGGAGUGCUCUUCGGAGAGCUCUUGCACAGGUGCUGCAUGGCUGUCGUCAGCUCGUGUCGUGAGAUGUCGGGUUAAGUCCCUUAACGAGCGAAACCCUUGUCCUUAGUUGCCAGCGGGUCAUGCCGGGGACUCUAGGGAGACUGCCGGUGUUAAACCGGAGGAAGGCGGGGAUGACGUCAAGUCCUCAUGGCCUUUAUGACCAGGGCCGCACACGUCCUACAAUGCGUCGUACAAAGGGAAGCAAGCCCGUGAGGGUUAGCAAAUCCCAAAAAGCGCCGCCCAGUUCGGAUUGCAGGCUGCAACUCGCCUGCAUGAAGCCGGAAUCGCUAGUAAUCGCGGGUCAGCAUACCGCGGUGAAUGUGUUCCUGAGCCUUGU
rnacentral:rRNA from 1 species